rnacentral:rRNA from 1 species
UACGUAGGUGACAAGCGUUGUCCGGAUUUACUGGGCGUAAAGAGCGCGCAGGCGGUCGUUCAAGUCGCGUGUGAAAGCCCCCGGCUCAACUGGGGAGGGUCACGCGAUACUGAUCGACUCGAAGGCAGGAGAGGGUAGUGGAAUUCCCGGUGUAGUGGUGAAAUGCGUAGAUAUCUGGAGGAACACCGGUGGCGAAGGCGGCAUCCUGGACCAAUAUUGACGCUGAGGAGCGAAAGCUAGGGGAGCAAACGGG